GCGUUGACGUCUGAGUCCUGCGCAACAGAUACCCAUGAACCAGGUCAGGUCCGGAAGGAAGCAGCCUUAAGUGGUGCUCUCUGUGUGCCGCAGGAGCGCUUGG
rnacentral:SRP_RNA from 1 species